rnacentral:rRNA from 1 species
GAUGAACGCUAGCGGCAGGCCUAAUACAUGCAAGUCGAACGGGUUCCAGAUCAAAGCUUGCUUUGGUUUGGUGAGAGUGGCGCACGGGUGCGUAACGCGUGAGCAACCUACCCUUGUCAGGGGGAUAGCCCGGCGAAAGUCGGAUUAAUACCGCAUGACAUCAUUGAGAGGCAUCUUUCGAUGAUCAAAGAUUUAUCGGACAAGGAUGGGCUCGCGUGACAUUAGCUAGUUGGUAAGGUAACGGCUUACCAAGGCUACGAUGUCUAGGGGCUCUGAGAGGAGAAUCCCCCACACUGGUACUGAGACACGGACCAGACUCCUACGGGAGGCAGCAGUAAGGAAUAUUGGUCAAUGGACGGAAGUCUGAACCAGCCAUGCCGCGUGCAGGAAGACGGCCCUAUGGGUUGUAAACUGCUUUUAUACGGGAACAAACGUCGGUACGUGUACCGGUCUGAGUGUACCGUAAGAAUAAGGAUCGGCUAACUCCGUG